GACGAACGCUGGCGGCGUGCUUAACACAUGCAAGUCGAACGGAAAGGCCCUGCUUUUGUGGGGUGCUCGAGUGGCGAACGGGUGAGUAACACGUGAGUAACCUGCCCUUGACUUUGGGAUAACUUCAGGAAACUGGGGCUAAUACCGGAUAGGAGCUCCUGCUGCAUGGUGGGGGUUGGAAAGUUUCGGCGGUUGGGGAUGGACUCGCGGCUUAUCAGCUUGUUGGUGGGGUAGUGGCUUACCAAGGCGUUGACGGGUAGCCGGCCUGAGAGGGUGACCGGCCACAUUGGGACUGAGAUACGGCCCAGACUCCUACGGGAGGCAGCAGUGGGGAGUAUUGCACAAUGGGCGGGAGCCUGAUGCAGCAACGCCGCGUGCGGGAUGACGGCCUUCGGGUUGUGAACCGCUUUCGCCUGUGACGAAGCGUGAGUGACGGUAAUGGGUAAAGAAGCACCGGCUAACUACGUG
rnacentral:rRNA from 1 species